rnacentral:tRNA from 1 species
AGUGGUUCAGUGGUAGAGCGCUUGCCUAGCAAGCACAAGGCCCUGGGUUCGGUCCCCAGCU